UAAAGUAUGAGAAUUAUGAUCAUCUUAGCGCUACGACUGUCGUAAGUCUAUGUUGAAGAAUGGGAAUUAUGAUCAUAUAAGCGCUACGACUGUCGUAAGUCUGUGUUAAAACAUGGGAAUUAUGAUCAUCUUAGCGCUACGACUAUCGUAAGUCUAUGUUACAACAUGUUAUUUAUGAUCAUCUUUGCGCUACGACUGUCUAUAUUGAGGGCGGUGGGAUAGCCUAG